rnacentral:rRNA from 1 species
UAGGGAAUCUUCCACAAUGGACGCAAGUCUGAUGGAGCAACGCCGCGUGAGUGAAGAAGGUUUUCGGACCGUAAAGCUCUGUUGUUGGUGAAGAAGGAUAGAGGUAGUAACUGGCCUUUAUUUGACGGUAAUCAACCAGAAAGUCACGGCUAACUACGUGCCAGCAGCCGCGGUAAUCGUAGGUGGCAAGCGUUGUCCGGAUUUAUUGGGCGUAAAGCGAGCGCAGGCGGAAGAAUAAGUCUGAUGUGAAAGCCCUCGGCUUAACCGAGGAAUUGCAUCGGAAACUGUUUUCUUGAGUGCAGAAGAGGAGAGUAGAACUCCAUGUGUAGCGGUGGAAUGCGUAGAUAUAUGGAAGAAUACCAGUGGCGAAGGCGGCUCUCUGGUCUGCAACUGACGCUGAGGCUCGAAAGCAUGGGUAGCGAACAGGAUUAGAUACCCUGGUAGUCCAUGCCGUAAACGAUGAGUGCUAAGUGUUGGGAGGCUUCCGCCUCUCAGUGCUGCAGCUAACGCAUUAAGCACUCCGCCUGGGGGAGUACGACCGCAAGGU